rnacentral:rRNA from 1 species
ACGGGUGAGUAAUGCCUAGGAAUCUGCCUGGUAGUGGGGGAUAACGUUCGGAAACGGACGCUAAUACCGCAUACGUCCUACGGGAGAAAGCAGGGGACCUUCGGGCCUUGCGCUAUCAGAUGAGCCUAGGUCGGGUUAGCUAGUUGGUGAGGUAAUGGCUCACCAAGGCGACGAUCCGUAACUGGUCUGAGAGGAUGAUCAGUCACACUGGAACUGAGACACGGUCCAGACUCCUACGGGAGGCAGCAGUGGGGAAUAUUGGACAAUGGGCGAAAGCCUGAUCCAGCCAUGCCGCGUGUGUGAAGAAGGUCUUCGGAUUGUAAAGCACUUUAAGUUGGGAGGAAGGGCAGUUACCUAAUACGUGAUUGUUUUGACGUUACCGACAGAAUAAGCACCGGCUAACUCUGUGCCAGCAGCCGCGGUAAUACAGAGGGUGCAAGCGUUAAUCGGAAUUACUGGGCGUAAAGCGCGCGUAGGUGGUUUGUUAAGUUGGAUGUGAAAUCCCCGGGCUCAACCUGGGAACUGCAUUCAAAACUGACUGACUAGAGUAUGGUAGAGGGUGGUGGAAUUUCCUGU